rnacentral:lncRNA from 1 species
UAAAUCAAGAUCAAUCUAAAUACAUAUGAAAUCAAUAGAAGGAAGUAAUGAUGAUGAUAGUGAAGACAACAAAUUAUUGAGCAUUGUCCAAAUGCCAAACAUCCUGCUAGAUACAUGCACGGUGUUUUCUCGUUUAAUCUUGAGGCAUCUCCACCCUUGUUCUCCCUCUUUUAUGGAUAAGAAAAACUGAGGCCCACAGAUUUAAACAUGUUUCCCCAAGAUCUUACAACUUCCUUGCUGCCUGCAAAGCCACUGAUCAUGGUGCCUCAUGCCUAGAGCCAGAGCCCAGGAUGAACAAUUGAUGUUUCCCUGCUAACAGUCUCACAGUUCCUUGUAUCAACUGUUUUACUGGCUUCUGGCUAGAGUUCCUCCCUUCCGAGACCACAGACACAUUCAUGGGACCACAAGAAACUACAGAUGCAUCUUGGGUUUAGAGGCCCAUGUGAGGUUGCGCUCACAUACAGAAGUGAGGAGGGGAACACCAGAAGUCCUCCUGGCAUGAGGCAAUGAGGUAGAAAUGUAGACAAAGGCCAUGUCAAGAACGGCAGUGAUUUUGAAUUUAGGGAGCCAUCGACAAUUGGUAAGUAAUGGAAGC